rnacentral:rRNA from 1 species
ACGCACGCUGGCGGCGUGCUUAACACCUGCCAGUCGCACGGAAAGGCCCUGCUUUUGUGGGGUGCUCGAGUGGCGAACGGGUGAGUAACACGUGAGUAACCUGCCCUUGACUUUGGGAUAACUUCAGGAAACUGGGGCUAAUACCGGAUAGGAGCUCCUGCUGCAUGGUGGGGGUUGGAAAGUUUCGGCGGUUGGGGAUGGACUCGCGGCUUAUCAGCUCGUUGGUGGGGUAGUGGCUUACCAAGGCUUUGACGGGUAGCCGGCCUGAGAGGGUGACCGGCCACAUUGGGACUGAGAUACGGCCCAGACUCCUACGGGAGGCAGCAGUGGGGAAUAUUGCACAAUGGGCGGAAGCCUGAUGCAGCAACGCCGCGUGCGGGAUGACGGCCUUCGGGUUGUAAACCGCUUUCGCCUGUGACGAAGCGUGAGUGACGGUAAUGGGUAAAGAAGCACCGGCUAACUACGUG